UUUCCUUGCAAUGAAGAAUGUCCUAGAUCUUUCUGUGGCUGCAAAUGGCCAGGUGCUUCAGCCAGACCCUCUGAGUGAUUCACUGGUCAGGGAGGGAUUGCAGCACUCCGGUCAGAAGUCCUGUGGUAUCUUACAGACUCCUUCCAGCUUUUUCUGAUGCCAAAGGAGUGGACCUGCAUGCCUGUACCUUAAGCUGGCCUGUGUGGAUCUUCCAUGGAGAGCUGAAUGUGGAUCCUUGUGGGAUUCUACCAAUCUACAGUGACAUCUGCAGUCUGACAAAUGAAACAUAGUUGGAUUCUGGGCAGAAGAGGAGAUACCAAGAAGAGGAAAGCAUGUGUGAGGCUGAUUAGGCAUCAGUUUCAGUCCUAAUCAUCACCUGGCACAGAGAAGAGGAAUUAUUUGUGGAAUGCAUCAUCAGCCAAGUCUCAACACACACACUGGAAAGAAUUGGCGUAGGCUCACCUGGUUUUGCAUGCAGAGGAGUCUUGAAGUGGAGGAGUUUGGACUGGUUUUUCUUUUUAAUUCUUUUCAUUAAUGCUACAAAACAACAGAUGCAAAUUUCCCAUUGCCUGCUUGCUU